GAUGAACGCUGGCGGCGUGCUUAACACAUGCAAGUCGAACGGUGAAAGAAGAGCUUGCUCUUCUGGAUCAGUGGCGAACGGGUGAGUAACACGUGAGUAACCUGCCCCAGACUCUGGGAUAAGCACUGGAAACGGUGUCUAAUACCGGAUACGAGCUUCAGUCGCAUGGCUAGGAGCUGGAAAGAAUUUCGGUCUGGGAUGGACUCGCGGCCUAUCAGCUAGUUGGUGAGGUAAUGGCUCACCAAGGCGACGACGGGUAGCCGGCCUGAGAGGGUGACCGGCCACACUGGGACUGAGACACGGCCCAGACUCCUACGGGAGGCAGCAGUGGGGAAUAUUGCACAAUGGGCGCAAGCCUGAUGCAGCAACGCCGCGUGAGGGACGA
rnacentral:rRNA from 1 species